AGGCUCCCAAGACUCCGGAAACUGACGUUUUCGGAAGUCGUCCAGGAACAUAACGAGGGCUUAGAACCAGAGGGGGAGGUUCCUUUACAUUACUUGAUGACCGCUAUGCCCACUACAGCAAAGAUGGCAAAACGUGCAAGAGAAGCCCGCAGGUCUGCCAAUGAAA